AGGAGAAACGUUAGUUUGUAAAUUUCAUGCAAGUUGGAACAUCUGUGAUGCUUUUUAAUUGCUGCAUUUUUUCACUUUUCAAUGUAAUGGGUUGAGGUCUGCAGCAGCGUGAUCAGAACCUGCAAAUGUUCAUGAAGGUACAAUCUGUCCUUUAGCAUUCUUCUUUUGUACAUUGGAUUAGCUGUUUUCUAACUUCAUGCAUCUUUGCAUCUAAAAUGUAAAGCAAAUGGCUCAGCAUACUGGAAUGCCUAUGAGUGUAGUUCCACCUCCAGCUCCGCCGCUACCUCUGCCUCCUACAUAUAGUGCUACAACCUCUCCAGAUCAUUCAUCUUCGACGCCGCUGGCUAAUGCGUAUGGUGUUUCAGCUUCUCCAGAUCAAUCUCCAGAAAAUAUAUGUUGAUAACUUUGGCUCAGCUAUUGGAGUAGGAAACCCAGAAGAGACACUUCAAAGGAUCGCUAACAGAAUGUUCGGUGGAUACGUCAAUGGUUCCGGAAGUGGUGGGGGAAGCUUCUCCCCUUUGGAGCACGAUCUUGCUCCUUAUUGAUACCUUGCAUAGGUGAAAUGCAGCUGUGAUUUUGUGCCACAAACUUAAAACUAUUUUUGUGAUGUCAAUGUGAGUUUAGAUUGGAACUUAAGCUAGCUGGUGGUUACAAGUAUUUUGUGGCAGCUGCAAACUUUGUGUCACAAAGGUGACUUGAGGUUGGAACUUAAGAUGUUGUGGGUGGUUAUUAGUAGCGGUACUUUGCGAUGCCAAUGUGCUAUUUUUAAGUAAAAUAUGUAAUGUACCAUGAGAUGAUGCACUCUUCUAAUUAAUGCUGUGGAAAUUUGGUCUUUAUGGCCAUCUGUUAUCA